rnacentral:rRNA from 1 species
CACGUAGGGUGCGAGCGUUGUCCGGAAUUAUUGGGCGUAAAGAGCUCGUAGGCGGUGUGUCGCGUCGGCCGUGAAAGCCUGCAGCUUAACUGUGGGCGUGCGGUCGAUACGGGCAUCACUGGAGUUCGGCAGGGGAGACUGGAAUUCCUGGUGUAGCGGUGAAAUGCGCAGAUAUCAGGAGGAACACCGGUGGCGAAGGCGGGUCUCUGGGACGGUACUGACGCUGAGACGCGAAAGCGUGGGGAGCGAACAGG